rnacentral:lncRNA from 1 species
UUCGGUCUGUCUUCAUGGACUAUUUGUCUGUACAAAGCUAUAAAAACUCGAAAAUAAAAUGCUUUAAGAGAGAGAAGUGAAAGUAGGAUGAUAUAAAAUGCGAAUAACUAAACAUACAUUGCUAGAAUAUAGAUUAAAGUAUACAAUGGUCAUAUCUGUUCAACAUGUACUCCAAUGGUUGAUGCAUUAAUUCUUGGGUCUAUGUUGGGUUGAACUAAUAAAAUAUGACAUUACAAUUUCAUAAAAAAAUGAUACUUCAGUCAUAUGUAUCCAAAUACAUUCUUGAAAACAAAUGCAAGCUUAGAUUUAAACAAAAAUAACUAUAAUCAUCAAUAUAUUUUUUGUUAAAGUAAUUUCUAAAUCAACUUACUAUAAAAAAUACACUUACAACAUUCCAUCUCUUGUCUAGAGACUCAUUUAUAACCAAAUUAGUAUGUGCAUACACCAUAGGAGAAGCAUAAAAUCCCAUCAACGUCCAUGGCUCUUGAUCAUCUAAAUUAUAACAAACAAAACAAAAAAAAUUGAAAAUUUUGUUCAUAAUAUUAGCGAAAAAUUGAAAAACUAAGGCUUACAAACUCUUCAACACAUACCAGUAUCAACAAUAGUAUCUUGUUGAGAGAGGAAAAAGAACUCCACCACUUAGGAACAAAAAUACUUAAGAUAGAAAGGGAAAACUACACAAAAAACCAUUACAUAUUUACAUCAUCAACCUUAAACCUAAAAAAAAUAUAUGGAAAAAUUAUUUGUAUAAAAGCCAUUGGUAUAUAUUUCUUUUUCAUUUAGCCAUUAGUAACCUACAAAACCCGGUUAGCAAGUUUGAUUUGUUUACAUGAUCAAUUUUUUAUGAUGUGACAUCUGAUGUCCAUAUAAGCAUGUGUUAUACUUAUGAACACAUAAAAACAACAGUUUUUGACACUUUUACACACGUAUGUGGUCAUUUCACUUGCCAUGUCAAAUGCCAACUCAUUGAAAAAUGUCCAACUGAUCAAUAAUGGUGCAAAUAAAACACUCAUAAUGGCUUUGGAGGUAAAAUGCUGAUAAUGUGUAAUUUUCCCUAAAACGUUAAAAUCUUGUUAUUAAUAAGUAUUAAUGUGAUUACUCACCAAAUGAGAACCGAUUAGAAGAGCCCUGUUGCUAGCAUUUGGUGGUUGAACUCUACCAUGCACAUUCCCCAAUCCAUCCACCCACCUGGAAAUGGAAAUGGUGGUCUUAGUAGAUGUUUCUCAAAAUAUUGAAUUGUUAUCGAACUAGUAGAAAACAAAUUUAAUUUAAACAUAACAAUCAAUACAAUUACAAACUCCCAAACUCACAUAAAUAAAAUGUUGGCAGAAACAGAAACUGGAUUUUAAUAUCCGGUAUCAUCAUCAUCAUCCAUGGGUGGUCUCUGUACUUUCUGGAUGAAUAUAAAUGUAAAACUUAGAAAAAAAAGCAUAAAGGUUCUAUUCUUAAAUAAAUUUCCAAAGUAGAAAUUGUAAAAAAAAUAAUAAUAAAAAAAAAUCACCAUGCCAUCUAAAAACAGAAACUUUCCACCUUGUUAGAAAAAAAUAAACAUGUUUUUUCAAUAGAAUGAAAUCAUUAAACCAUUAGAGUCUUUCCCAAAUUCAUCAUAAACGAACAAAUAAAAAAUAAUUAUUUAUAUAUCUUUUUUAUGCUUUUUUGCUUAUAAGGUGUUAUUUGAGGAUUUGCUAAUUAUUUGUAUCACUAAUAAAAUUAAGAAUUACUUGAAGCUUCCGCUCAGUCAAUAGAAAUAAUAUAAGCACUUUGUUAUUAUUGUAAAAAUUAUACAAACAAAUUGCUAUUAUUGUUAAAAAAUUGUAGUUACAUUGUUAUGAUCUCAGCAAGCUGUAAAAAUGUAAGUACAUUGUUAUUCUUUGUGAAAUGAAACAACCAUUAGCAAGAUAAAAAUAAGCAAAUACCGAAAAUAAAAAAGAAAAUCCUGAAAAACCGAAACCCAAGUUAAAAUGACUAAUUUCUUUUUAUUCCAUGUGCAAAAAAAAACAUAUGAUGUUAAUACCUUUCAAUAACCUAUUGUUCGUGUAACUUAAUUGCAUUUGGUUGAAAAGUCAUAUGAAGAAGUCAUCUUUUCCUCAGAUAAAUUCCAUCACCUCAUAAUUAUAUAACAUGAAAAGAAAAAUACAUUAAAAAAAUAAAACAAAUCUUUAACAAACCCAAAAGCUAUAAAAAUAUAACUCAACUGAGAUCAUUCGUACUAAUCUAUCUAGAUCAAGAAGUUCAUCAGAAAACAAAUGGUUCAACACACAAAGUUAAUUAGUUUUAAAAGAGGUCUGAUUAACCAAACAUAAAUCACAAUUCCAAACUGAACAUUGCUAAAUCAAGUGCAUUUGAUAUGGUAAAGCAAAAGUUCAUACCCAAUUUGGAAGCUAGUUAAAGGAUAGAAGUAUCUCCUCAUGUAAACCACACUUUAACUCCUAAUUGAGCUGAUUGAAACUCGUGAUUGAAUGAAUUGAAGUCGAUCAAAUCGAUAAGUUAUCACAUAAAGCAAUGGAAAUAAAUAUUCAAUAAUGAAUUAUCCAUACCAAAUUAACAAAUUUAUUUCACAAACAAAGUCCUAACUUCAUAAUUAUAAUUUUAUAAAGACCUAAACAGUAAACAAUUAUUAAGACAAACAAUAUACCUAAAAAUGGAGCCAAGUCACCGGUUACAGUUAAUAAGCCUUCUCCCUUUUCAGGGUUUUCCGAAUUCAGUUAUUUGAAGUAGGUUCAUAUUAUAAGCUCUUUGAGCCACUAUAGUUCAGACGAAACCCAGUCCGGAAGAAGUAGAUGAUGAUGGAGUGUUGGUGGGUUUGCGGAGGCUACACGGUCGGCAAGAGAGAGUGUAUAAUUGGGAAGCAAUUUUGAACUGGAAAUUGACACUCUUGUUGAAUACUGUAAUGAAAAACAAAGAAGAUAGAAAACAAUUAAGAGAAGAUGAGUGAGUAUGUUACAUAAAAGAUUCAGGAGUAGUUCUUCAUCAGAAGAAAGAGAUAAAGUCGGGUAUAUAGUAUAAUAUAAAAACUUAAAUUCAAGGCCACAUCCAAACAUGUAUGAGCUGUAAUUUGUACUAAAAUCCCAUGAUUUUAUCUAAAUAUAAGAACUUUUUGUUCGAAUCUCAAGCAAAAAUAUCAAAAUUGGGGAAAAUGAAAGAAAAAGAACAUCAAUCGAUGAAAAGAAAAAUAAAUGUAACAUCAACACUACAUAAGUAUAAACCCCAUAUUCAACUCUUAAAAAGCUAUAUGCCUGGAAAACAGAUUGAUUUCUAUUGACCUGAAUGAUAUUGUGGGUGUUGAUGAUCGAUUUCAGUGAAUCGACUGUGGAUUCCAUAAUUGAAAACAAAAAAGAGAAUAAGGCUCAGAUUGAUAAAUUCAUCAGGAUGUAGCCAUCAUCGUCGAUUGUUGCAUUGUCAUAAACUCUAACUUCAACAAAAUUGAAAAGAGAAGGCAUUCAUCAGAAAGAAAUGUCCAGUAAUCCAAAGACUGCAACCAUUGGUGCUCUCUACUGUGAAAUGAAAACGUGAAAAAAAAAUCAUUGAUUAAAUGAACAGAAAGGAAUCUGAAAACCAUAUAUAUGUAAGUACCAAACAACCGACGGAGUCUGUGGUAAAGGUGGUGUUACUGGAGAUUGCGGCAGAUGAAAUCGAAGAAGAAAUGCGGAAGCCGGCAGAUAGCAAGGAUGUUGGAAGUGAGAGGAGGCAAUGGAGGUCAGAACGCGAGCAAGGAAACAUACCUAGAGCAAGUAGAAAAUGGGCCAGUC